UUUAUGGAAAGAUGUAAACAGUAAUGUAUGGUGUUGUCUAAAUGAAUUGUUAAUGUGGAGGAAAGGAUAUGCUUGUGUUCACACCCUCACAGGUCCAUCUUUGGAUUCCAGCAUGAUGCAUCAAACCCUACCAUGGGGUGACUAGGACCCAAGCCAGAAAUAAAGAAAAUGACCCUACAGGACCCACAGCUGCGGUGAUGCAGCUUCUGUGGAUGACACAAGCCCUGGAGGAUGCUGAAGAGGACCACUCAGGAGGCUGAGCGAAUCUUGCUCUGGACACAGACACCAUUUACUCCAUGAUGCAAAGCCGGAAUAUGAGCAGUGACUGCCACCCCUGACAGACCUGUUGCUACACACAUCUGUACUCUUCAAUCAACAAAAUCUGAUGCAAAAAACAGAAACGCGGGAGAUGUAGCAAUUUGUUCAGGGUGGUGGGAGAAAUUAUAAGAGGAAAUUAUAUGAAAAACACAAACUUUCUUGGAAGGACAGGUUUUUUUUUUGUUUUUGUUUUUGGUUUUUUUUUUGAGACAGAGUCUCGCUCUUUCACCCAGGCUGGAGUGCAGUGGCGUGAUCUCUGCUCACUGCAAGCUCCGCCUCCCGGGUUCACACCAUUCUCCUGCCUCAGCCUCCCAAGUAGCUGGGAUUACAG
rnacentral:lncRNA from 1 species